UACGGAGAGUGCAAGCAUUAAUCGGAAUUAUUGGGCGUAAAGGGCGCGUAGGCGGAAAGGUAAGUCAGAUGUGAAAUUCCGAAGCUCAACUUCGGAGCUGCAUUUGAAACUGCCAUUCUAGAGGUAUGACGGAGAAAACGGAAUUCCACGUGUAGCGGUGAAAUGCGUAGAUAUGUGGAAGAACACCGGUGGCGAAAGCGGUUUUCUAGUUUACACCUGACGCUGAGGCGCGAGAGCAAGGGGAGCAAACAGG
rnacentral:rRNA from 1 species